rnacentral:rRNA from 1 species
UUCUGGCUCAGGAUGAACGCUGGCGGCGUGCCUAACACAUUCAAGUCGAACGGACGCGUCCUUCGGGGGACAAGUUAGUGGCGGACGGGUGAGUAAUGCAUGAGCAACCUGCCUCGAAGAGGGGAAUAACACAGAGAAAUUUGUGCUAAUACCGCAUAAUGUAUCCGGGAGGCAUCUUCCGGAUAAGAAAGGAGCAAUCCGCUUUGAGAUGGGCUCAUGUCUGAUUAGACAGUUGGCGGGGUAACGGCCCACCAAAUCUACGAUCAGUAGCCGGACUGAGAGGUUGAACGGCCACAUUGGGACUGAGACACGGCCCAGACUCCUACGGGAGGCAGCAGUGGGGAAUAUUGGACAAUGGGCGAAAGCCUGAAUCCAGCGACGCCGCGUGAAGGAAGAAGGUCUUCGGAUUGUAAACUUUAGUGAGCAGGGACGAUAAUGACGGUACCUGCAUAGCAAGCCACGGCUAACUACGUGCCAGCCGCCGC